UUCCCAGACUCUCAUUCCAGC
rnacentral:miRNA from 1 species